rnacentral:piRNA from 1 species
UUGCUCCAUAAUAUAGCUUAAUUUCAGGGA